rnacentral:lncRNA from 1 species
UAAGACCCACUAACGGGCGGCGGGCACCACCCACCACCCAGGCCAGCAAGCAAAGCCACGCCUCCUCGCCGUUGCUUUGCUUUCGUCCUCGCCUUUUCUUUCCUUUCGUGUAGUACCGAGCAAGACAAAGCUCUCGGCACAAAACCCCCAAACCCCCCAAGGCGCCCCACCCCCACACGCAUCGCACACCACCCAUCCAACCCAUCCCCAUCGCAGCCCACGCGCCCGGGACCCGAGCAGCCAUGGCGAAAGGAGCAGCCGGAGGAGGAGGGGGAGGGGGCGCCGUGAAGACGGCCCUGGUCGUCACCGGCGGCCUCGUCCUCGCCUGGCUCACCGUCGAGUCCGCCUUCAAGCCCUUCCUCGACCGCCUCCGCGGCGCCGUCUCCCGCUCCACCGACCCCGCCCGCGACCCCGACGAGGACACCGCCGCCCCCGCCCCCGCCCCCGAGGAGGACAAGUCGCCCGCCACCGCCGCCGUCGCCGCCGCUGUCGCCUCCGCCGUCGCCGAGGAGAAGGACCCCGCCGUCGCCGCGGCCGAGCCGUCCGCGCCCCCGCUCCCGGCCGAGGCCUCGGUGGAGAGCGAGGAGAAGGGAGCGGACAGGGAGGUCGAGCUGGGCGAGAAGGGGGAGGCGGCCGUGGCCGCCAAGGCCGAGUGAAGACGGCGGUUCUCGCCUCGCCUGGUUCCACUUCUGAAUCGUACGCUGUGAAUCUAUUCUACGCGUUUGGAGGUUGUGAUGGAUGAUGCAAUGUUUUGAACUCUGUUAUCGGUAUCUGCACCUUUAGGGCCCGUCUUAAGAUUAAGGCUUACCCUGGGUUAGUUUCUGACAUUUUGCAUUCAGUACUUGAUGUCAUGAUAUACAUCUGUGUGGAUGGUUUAAUUUACCAUGGAAACUGCUUGCUUAUCCUGUGGACAGGAAACUUAUUGUCACAUAGGUUGUUCUAGCUCUUGAAGCUGCAUUUGGUUCAGUCAUUUUAAUCAGUCGCCAGGGUAAUGGUGAUGUGGUGCAUCAUUCAAUUAUUUUGGGCUGUCUUUCCUGCUUGGUUUAUGCAUUUCCUCUGAGGGAGAAGUUAUCUCGUCCAACAUUACAUAAAAACUGCUUUGCUUAUGCUGUUGAUAGGAAAAUUAUAGUGACAUAUGUUGUUCUACUUCUUCAAACUGAAAGUCUGCAAGGUUGUUCAGUUGUUUAAGUAUUUCUUGGGCUAGUGAAAUGAUAUGGUGCAUCAUUCGAUUAUUUUGUGCUACUUCUCUUGCUUUCAGAUUUUUCUCUGUGAAUAAGUUAUUUCUAUCAUGCUUCUAAAUAGUACUCCCUCCGUCCGGAAAUACUUGUCGAAGAAAUGGGUAAAAAUGGAUGUAUCUAGAACUAAAAUGCGUCUAGAUACAUCCAUUUCUCCGACAAGUAUUUCCGGACGGAGGGAGUAUUAUGUUACCUGUUAAUCGCAUUUUGACGCUUGGGGUGUGUCUUUGAUGCUGCCUAGUUAGAAUUCUUAUUAUUUGAUAUCUGUAUGUUUUACUACUCAGCUCAACUUAGCAGCGUGGUUACUUACUAGUUGUACAUCAGUAUUUACUACUAUAUAUUAUUGAUGCUCCUAUAUGUUAGUGCCCGUGCAUGUUUUUUUAUUUUCUCGCUUAGAAGUAGUUUGCUUAUAUUACUAUCUUGCUAGAAAUAUUCAGGUUUUCAUAGGGAUUCUCCAGGUCUUUUGUGGCAACAAAUGGUUUGGUAAUUUCCAUUUCUAGAUCACUUCUUGAAUCUUUUGGUAUUUUCAUGUAACAUGUUUGCCCAGUGCCCGGUACUACUUUUUUCUGUAUUUAACGCUGAGCUGUUGUAUCUAUUUGCUGAGUAAGACGGUAGACCUUGCGAGGAAGUCCAGCCAAUUAUAUGUCUUGAAAGGAUGCAGCAUUUUUCUGUCGUUCUGUUUUAAGUUGUAGCUACAGGAGGUUUCUGAAUUCAGUACUAUUUAAGAAGAAAGUUUUCACAUUACCUGCUACAGGGUAAUGGUAUACAUUUGGAAUCAAAGUCAUGCUAAGUCAGUCACAUUAUUGCUUCAUGCAUGAAACAUAGUUUGUUAGUAGCGUAUCUGUAAUGAUAGUACUUAACUAUUAUGCUUGGAUAUAUUAGUGUUGUUUUCUGCAUUUAGUCAUCAUUUGUAUAUGUGUCGACAAAGCUGUUAAUGUUUAACAUUAUUCUGCAGAAGUUAUUAAGCAUAACCGUUUGAUGUACGAAUACCAUUAUUGUACUAAGUUGAGAUGACAUGAAUGCUUCAUGCACAACAUGUAGUCUGUUAGUAGUGUAUCUGGUGUUGAAAUGUCUUAAGUAUUAUGCUUGGCUAAACAAUUGACGGUUUCUGCCUUUAAUAUAAUUUGUAUAUGUGGCAACAAAGUCGUCGAUUUUAGACAUUAUUAUGUGAAAGAUGCUAUUAAAUAUCUAGACUUCUAGAGUAUUAUGCUUGUCUGGUGUUACAUUGAUAUGGAGGCGGCAAAGCUUAUCUGGUGUUAAAAUAUCUAGAGUAUUAUGCUUAGACAGACUAGUGAGUUUCUGCAUUUAGUAUCAUUUGUAGAUGCGGCAACAAAGCUGUCGAUGUUGGACGUUAUCACGCGUUACAGUUUGAUAGGGAGGGCAGCAGUUAUUGUACUAAGCUAAUACUACAUUAUUACUUCAUGCACAACUUUGCAGUCCGUUAGUAGCCUAUCUGGAAUUAAAAUACGUGGAAUAUUAUGCUUGGAUAAACUAGUGAGGAUCUAUGCAUUUAGUCAUCAUUUAUAGAGGUGACUGCAAAUCUGUUGAUUGGUAGACAUUAUGAUGCAGAUGCUAUGAUUGAUUACUGACGUUAUGCUGUGUUAGCAUGAUAGUUCGAUGAUUAACAAUAUUUUGUUACUGAAAUGCCUCGUGUUAAAUUCUGCAAUACUAUGUUUUGGUGAAGUACUGAUGCUUCUGCAUUUAUGCUGCAGUCAUACGUCCGACAACAAAGUUGUUAAUUAUAGUUGCUAGAUGUUAAGGUUCCAAACUGAAGUAACGCUAUUUUAGUAAACUAAGAAUUAGUCUCCUGAUUUUCCGUUGAUGCAUUUAGUUUUUCAAAUGCGGCAUCAGAACACAGGGGUAACAUUGUUUUAUUUUCAUGACUAUCCUUAGGCUCAACGCAUAGUCUGUUAGUAACUUAUCUGGAACUAAAACAUGAAAUGUUAUGUGUGGAUAAACUAGUGAGGAUUUAGGCAUGUAGUCAUCAUUUAUAGAGAUGACCGCAAAACUGUUCAUUGGUAGGCAUUGUGAUGCAGGUGCUAUGAGUGGUUACAACUUUAUGCCGUGUCAAAGCAUGACCACAUCAUAGCUCGAUGAUUAACAAUAUGUUUUUGCUGAAUUGUCUGGUUUCAAUCCUUUAGUACUAUGUUUUGGUAAACUACUGAUGGCUUCCGCAUUUGUGCAGCAGUCAUACAUGCGAUAGCAAAGUUAUUAAUUAUAGCUGCUACUCCCUCCAUUCCUACAUAUAUGACGUUUUGGUAGUUCAAUGAGGGAGUAGAUGUUAAGGUUCCAAACUGAAGUAGCACUAUUUUAGUAAACUACUCCCUCCGUAAAGAAUAUAAGAGCGUUUAGAUCACUAGCUCUUCUAUUUCUUUACAGAGGGAGUAAUAAUUAGUCUCCUGAUCUUCUGGUGAUGCAUUUUAGUUUUCCGAAUGCGGCAUCAAAACAUAGGUUACAUUAUUUUGUUCUCAUUACUAUUCGUAGGCUCAUGCACCAUUGAUUAGUUAAUGCUCACCUAGAACUGAAUCAAGUUUCCUGUUCAGUUUUGAUAACUCAGUAAUGAUUUAGUAUUUACUCUACUAUACUGCGACGACAUGGUAAUUGAUGCUAAAUGUUUAACUUUAAACUACAUCAUAUGUUAUUGUUAUAAACAAAUAACAAAUCUCAAUCCUGUUACUCGCUUAAUCAGAAGGCUUAAGUGAUAAGUCGGUAUGGAGGUUUGGUUUGCCCGCAAUUUGGUUUUGGACAUAUUUGUUAGUUAUUGUUUGUGGUGUUGCCAUUUUCUGUGUCAUUUAUGAUUACCCCUACUUCCUGGUCUUAGUGUUGGUUAACUAAUACUCCCUCCGUUCCUAAAUAUAAGUCUUUCUAGAGAUUUCAAUAAAGACUACACACAGAUGUAUAUGGACAUAGUUUAGAGUGUAGAUUCACUCAUUUUGCUCCGUAUGUAGUCCAUAUUGGAAUCUUUAGAAAGCUUAUAGUAUUUAGGAACAGAGAGAGUAUAACUUAAUUGUCUCAGCUGGUCUUCGCUCGACAGUGAACAUCAUCCCGUCCAAAUUGCGACUAUAAUACUUGCUUGAAAGGAUCUAGUGUGAGCGAAUUCGCCGCAUUGUACCCAUGAUCAGAUGACAUAAGGUAUAGAUGAAUAUGAUAGAACGGUCAAUUUUCAUAUAAGGUGCCCCAUAGAAUUGGUAUGCAUUUGCCAUUAGAGCACAUGUAACGGUCAGCUGCUACUUGCUAGCAUGAUUUCGUGAUAGUUUCAUGCAGCAUGAGUAGUUCUAUUUAGUACCCAGUCCAGAAUUAAAGUAGCUAUUGCAGUUCGUUUGUCAAAUCUAAUGGUGAUUUCUGCAAUUCAGCAGUUAAAAUAUGUAAUGAUAGUUUGGUAGGUGCUAAACGUUGAGUAUUCAUAAUCAAGCAACAUUUGUUGCAGUAAACUAAUCAUUGACUUAUGGGACUGAAGGUUUCUUUGGGUUAUAUUGACGAGUGAAGACAUGUGCUUUGUUAGUUCUUUAUAGUUACUUUCAGUUCACACGCAUUCUGCAAGGUAGUAGAAUUCUGUAAAUCUUGUUUUAAUUCAAAAUAAUGAAGAUAUGUUUGGGGCAAUUAUAUUUGCUUGCCUAUGUUAAUUGUUCUGUUCCUGACUUGGUUGUGCGAUUCUGUGGAAAAUACACAUUAGCAUUCCAAUUGCAAAAUUUGCCACUUUGUCAUAAUGCCAUGUUCUGCAUUUUAGUUUUGUUGGGCAAGAGGCGAUUUAAGUGUAAAUAUGGUUUAUUGAUUUGGGCGCGUUCUGUGAUCUGCCUGUAGCAUAGUGUAAACUACACAACCUUUGAGGGUUUUAAGCAGCAUAAUACUAAAAACGGAUCUCUGGUAGCAUAUCAGUUGCCGCACACACAAAAUGAUGAAUACACUUGUUUGGUCGUUCAUCUUUAUGCAUGCAUUAUCAUGUUUUACGUGCUUAUUGCCAAACAAGUGAGAUUCUGCUGGGAAUGAAACUGCUAUUACUAAUUAGGAUAUUGUCUAUGUGAUGGCAUUGCUGCUUACUUGUUUUGGGAUUGGGGAAGUGCUGUCGAAUUGUUAUACUAAUAAACUGAAUAAUAGCAAUCAAGAUUGACAUUGUAAUGAAAACCAAUAGUCAUUACUCAAUGAGAAUUAUCAUUUGAGUGUCUUGUUUGAUUGUUGUCGUGCCAUGAUUGGUGAUUGCAUACUCCUCUAGUGUCAUCAUUUUUAUGUCUAAUGCUUUUUGUCAGCAUCGGGAGGCACACCAAUGAUGGCGCAUUUCUUUUUGGUAAACGUUUCAAGCCUACAUGCCGGCCCAAACUUUUGGCCGGUCGCUCGCUCGUCGUUAGGCCAACUCCACCGCGCGACCCCAAACGGACGUCCGUUUUGUCCGGAUUCUGUCCGUUUGGGUAGGGCAAUGGUGUCGUGUCCGGACGUGUCCUGGGAUGCGGUGGCCGUGCGCCCAGCGCGCGACCGCAUCCGUUUGCCCUAUCCUGUCCGCCAGGGCCCAAAAUGCCCAUAUUUUCAUCAAAACUAGUUUACAAUCCAAAUAUUUGUCUGAAAAUUAAAAUAGUUUUACAACCCAAUUAAAAAUGUCUUUAAUAAAAUAGUUUUACAAUCAAAUCGAAAUUGUCUUAACUGAACAUAAAAUGAACCAAUACAUCUAUUGGUUGCCAAUGUGAUCCCACACGUGCUCAACCAAGUCAUUUUGAAGAUUCAAAUGAGUGUGCCAAUCACGCAUCUCACGGUGGAAUUGGACAAACUGUUCAAAUGUGGCCGGGUCUUGGUGCAGGGGCUCAAUAUUUUCACCUUGAUAAUCAAAUCCUUGGUCGAAGAUACUCUCGUCACGCUCGUCCUCGACGAUCAUGUUGUGCAUGAUCGCACAAGCACUCAUCACCUUCCAAAGCUUCCUUUCAUCACAUGACAGUGCAGGGUUUCGAACGAUACCCCACCGGGAUUGAAGCACACCAAAAGCACGUUCCACAUCCUUUCUAACACUCUCUUGCAUUUGGGUAAAUCUCUUUCUCUUCUCACCUUGGGGUUUCGAGAUUGUCUUCACAAAAGUUGACCACUGAGGAUAUAUACCAUCAGCUAGAUAGUAUCCCUUGUUGUAUUGGUGGCCGUUGAUCUCAAAGUUGACAGGUGGGGAGUGGCCUUCUGCAAGCCUCGCAAAGACUGGAGAACGCUGCAGCACGUUGAUAUCAUUGUGAGAACCUGCUAUGCCGAAGAAAGAACGCCAUAUCCAAAGAUCCUGCGAUGCCACCGCUUCUAAUAUGACAGUGCACCCGUUGGCAUGCCCCUUGUACUGUCCCUGCCAAGCAAAUGGACAGUUCUUCCACUCCCAGUGCAUACAAUCUAUGCUGCCAAGCAUGCCUGGAAAGCCUCUAGCUGCGUUGGUCGCCAACAAUCUCUCUGUAUCAGCGGUAGUUAGCUGCCUCAAGUACUCUGGGCCAAACACCUCGAUCACAGCCUGACAAAACUUGUACAUUGACAUUAGACAUGUUGUCUCACUCAUACGCACAUACUCAUCCAUCAGAUCGCCUGGAAUACCAUAUGCAAGCAUGCGGAUGGCCGCGGUGCAUUUCUGGUAAGAGGAGAAUCCAAGCUUGCCAAGGGUAUCUGUCUUGCACUCGAAGUAUGGGUCAUGAGCAACCACUCCCUCUCGGAUACGAUUGAACACAUGCCUUGCCAUACGAAAACGGCGACGAAAUUUAUCCGGCUUGAAAAGCGGAGUGUUCGCAAAGUAAUCGACAUAGAGCAAGGCGUGGCCUCUCCCUGUUGCGGUUCAGGUUGGGAGCACGGCCAGGGACUGACCCCCUGUACCGAGGAAGCUGCCGUUGAAUGUGGUCGUGAACGACCAGUGCAGCCACCAUAAGAUCUUCAUCAUCCGACGACGAAUCGUCCGAUGAACAAAGGAAGUGAUGGAAGAAAAACUCGUCUCCACUGUCCAUACCUUUGUGGGCAAAAUGUCUAACACCUUGCGGUCGUGGUGGCGAAGAGGCCGCGAUGAUCACCUCGAUGCAACAGGGGUGGUUGCCGGCCGGCUACUGGCCGCUCUGGAGCUCUCGUCGGAAGCUACCGAGGCCACCGUGGUACGUCGCCGGCGGUCGUGUCCCCUCUGCCACCGGCAAAGACGGCGACGGCCAAACCUCCUCCGAUCGACGGCCAAAACUACGACGAAAGCGCGGGCCUGGUGGCAGUCAUGUCGAGACGUGGUUUGGUAGGGACGGCCGGGGGCUGCGAGGAGGAGGCGGCCGAAGAAUAGCGGCGGCGCCGGCGGCGGGGCGGGGCGGGAGAGAGAGGGUGGAAGCGUUGGGAGCGGAGGGACUGCUAGUGUCCCCGACAGGCGGGCCACGGGGGAGGGGGAUAAGGGCGUGCAUCCAGGCCAUCCGCGCGCGUCCGUUUCAUCCCAAACCGAGCGCAAGUUUGGGCCGGGGAUAGGUCGAAAACGGACGGAAUCUGGAUAUUUGUCUGUUUGAGGCCGCGCGUUGGGCCGCGCUAUUCGUCCGUUAUACCCCAAAACGGACGCACGCGGACAGGAUGGGGUCGCGCGGUGGAGUUGGCCUUAGAUGCGGUUGCGAUCGAAGCGUCCGCGUUUACCCAGGUCAUCCCACGUACGAACAAAAGCGCCUGCUCUUGGGGAGCUACACGAGCGCGCGCACAUCCACGUGUGAAGCUAGGCCCACCCACCGCUCCGCGCCUCCUCCCAAUCUUAUCUGUUCACGCGCCUGUUCUAGAGCCAUUCAUUUACUUCACAGCUUCCACACCUCAUCUUCUACUUUACAACUAGCCAAUAACUCCUCUCUUCUUCCACAUCCCUCUCACAUGUCAGUGCCAUGGAUUCAACCCAGCGAGCUCCGGUGCUGAGAGACCAAGCUGCAGCUGGGAGCGGAGGGUGGGUGCGGCUGUGCUAGACCCAACAAGCCUUGAAGCUGCAACCGUUGUUGGUGUAUGCUGGAACCGGCGUCCGUCGGCGCCGCCACCAGCGGAGCCAAGUGCUGCAAGCGGCGACGAGCGGGACGUUCUUUGUUGUGACCGGUUUUUUUCAUUUGCUGGAACCAUGGUGCGGGGGUGCUGGAACCAGUGUACAGAGAUGCUGGAACCGCGAUGGGCGAAGCUUCGACGGCGGAGACAAAAAGAUGCACCCCACUGUCGGAGAUGCUGGAACCGGCCAUGGCAAAUGCUGGAACCAGUCCUAAUUUUUGCUACCACCCCUUUUGUUUUGAUUUUGCUGGAACCAUGCUUAAGUUUUGCUACCACCGUUCUUCAAUUUUGCCGGAACGGGCAAUUUUUUCUGCUUCAACCAAGUUUUUUGGAAUGUUUCUGUUGCUUUAGAUUUUUGCUGGAUGUGGCCAAUUCGUUUGCCACAACCGGCCUUUUCAAUGCUUGAACCAAGUCUGAUUUUUGCUAUUACCGUGGUCCUUUUGCUACAUCCUUUGUUCAUGGUUGCCAUGGUGCUCCAAGCACGGCGGCGAGCACAAAAAGAGUGCGGCCGGCGAGCUGCAACCGUUAGUCAUUUUUGCUGGAACCGGUCAGUGGUCACCGCGGUGAGCACGACAGUCACCACGGUGAGUUGCGAUGGUCACCACGGCAAGCUGCGACGGAAAUUGUCUGCGGCCAUCUGUGACGGUAACCACACCGAGCUGGAACCGCAGUCCAAAAUAGCUGGGACAAUAGUCGUGUUUUGCUGCAACCAUGGGAUCGGUGUUUUUGGUCUUUAGUCGUGGCUGACCAAGAGCGGGGAUGGCAAGCGGCAGCGAGCCGGCGAGGUCAUCGGCGUUGGGGGUCGUCGGGGGAGGAAGGGACGGGGGUUUGUGCGUGGCGGCUCUGGUGCGGCAAUGAGUGGGAGGAGGAAGAAAGAAUCAAGGGGAGGAAGUAGACGGCGCGGGGCCAGAUCAGACGGCUCGCUACAGCUGUAUCAGGCGGCUGUGCGCUGACCAGCUGAAAUUUCGGCCGGCGCGCCGGCGCCUAUCAGUGCCCUUUCUUUUUAUGUUGACAUUGUAUUAUUGUUAUUGCAUAUAUUGGAUAUAGGAAUUAUGUUAUUUGGUCUGAUGAAUGCUUGAUGCUACAUUUGCAUGCAGUACCAAAUGUCCAUCUAAUCCUGUAGGUUCGAUGUAUGUAAGUUGGUUAAUUGUGUUGGAUUUUUUAGUUGGUUCCAUUUGAAGCGGGCAUCGAGCAUCUAGCAUAACUUUGCAUUUGAUAGACUUUUUGCGAACCAUGAGUGGGAGGGGAACUAUAUUUUGGGUUUUCAAAAGUUGGAUAGGAGGGAACCAAAGCCAAAUAUGUAUCACAUGGUUAAUGAAUCAUAGGAGUAUAUAGGAAGAUAUGCAUACCACACAUUGCAUAUAUCUUCCAAGCCGUAAGAUAUUAAGUAUGAAGAUAUGUAUAACACACAUUGCAUAUAUCUUCAAGCCAUUUGACAUUAAGUACGAAGAUAUGCAUACCACACAUUGCAUAUAUNNNNNNNNNNNNNNNNNNNNNNNNNNNNNNNNNNNNNNNNNNNNNNNNNNNNNNNNNNNNNNNNNNNNNNNNNNNNNNNNNNNNNNNNNNNNNNNNNNNNNNNNNNNNNNNNNNNNNNNNNNNNNNNNNNNNNNNNNNNNNNNNNNNNNNNNNNNNNNNNNNNNNNNNNNNNNNNNNNNNNNNNNNNNNNNNNNNNNNNNNNNNNNNNNNNNNNNNNNNNNNNNNNNNNNNNNNNNNNNNNNNNNNNNNNNNNNNNNNNNNNNNNNNNNNNNNNNNNNNNNNNNNNNNNNNNNNNNNNNNNNNNNNNNNNNNNNNNNNNNNNNNACCUUACAUAUACAAUGUACAUUGUGAUUACAUAUCCUUUAGGCUAAUUAGUUCUCUUCUUUCUAUGCACGUAUACAUGUACAUCGUGAUUGUGGAUAGGUUUGUUGAUUACAUAUCCUUUAGGCUAAUCAAACGGACUAGUUAAUUUUUAGUAUAUUUUUUUGUCAAAAAGAAUAUACAGUAUCCUUGUGCGUGCAUGUCAAACAUGUUAUGUACCACACUGAUCAAACGGUGCAAAUAAAUUCAGCAUGUGGAUGCACAUGGUAGGUUGUUUGUAUUUCAUAAUAUCAUAGUAAUAAUAGACAGGCAUUAGAGAACCUACACCAAGUUUUUAUGUUCAAACAAAAAUCUACACCAAGUUUUUAUGUUCAAACAAAAAUCUACACCAAAUUAGAAUUCAAACACGUGCCAAAAAAUGGUUGUAAACACCAUAAAUACUUGCUUAUAUUUUCCCCUUUCAGAUAUAUCGAUCCAAACAGCAAAGAUCAGUAGUCAGUAAGAAAUGCUCUUUUACACUAAACAAAAAUAAAUUAAAUGUGUUUGAAUCUUAAAAUAGGCAAGAUAUUCAUCAUAUCAUAUCUGAAGUUCCGAACAACCAAGAACACAAGAACACAGUAAGAAAUAUCUUAAACAAAUCAAGCGCUAGCAUGAAUCUUUCUUAAACAUGAUGCUCUUCGACAUUAAGUAUGAAGAUGUGCAACACACAAUGCAUAUAUCUUCCAAGCCAUUCGACAUUAAGUAUUAAUAUAUGUAUACUAUAUAUCAUCCAUGCCCUUUGACAUAGUACGAAGAUAUGCAUACCACACAUUGCGUAUAACAUACAUGCCCUUCGAUGAUUUUUAUUGAAUGUACACCACCCAUUGUGUGUAUGUGCAUACCACACAUUGUGUAUAAUAUCCAUGCCCUUGGAUAAUUUUUAUUGAAUAUACACCACCCAUUAUGUGUAUCAUCCACGUGAUGUGUAUAACACACUUUGCAUAUAUCAUCAAUGCCUAUAGUGAUUAAGUACGUAGAUACGAAUGACAUCCAUACACACACACGUUGCAGUUGCUUGCGGGGUGUCAUUUAUUUCAUAUAUAUCUUGAAUCAAUUGUUAAUGAACUAUCCCCUAAAGUCGAGUAAAGUGGCCGAAAUAUAUUAUGGUGACAUUGUUUCAACCAUGUUGCUUUGUUCGUUCUGCAUGCCGAGUUGAAACGCGCCCCGUUCGUCAGCUCCGGUCUGCAUGCCCUUGCUGGUCACCACUUCCAUUCAUGUACAAAUACAAUCACCUUUGCCGAGAGAAUGGAGCAACUUGCCUUUGGCAUUGCAAGCAGCCGGCGCAUCUGCGUCCUGUGAAUGGUAAUCACACUACCCUACGCGAGCAAGAUGGAGAGCAACUACGAGCACCUGCCGGUGGCGCGACGCCAUUGCUGCACUACAGAGCGGCUAGAACUAAAUAGUUACAGACGGGGGAGCCAAGUGACGGAAGCUACAAAGAGGAGAUGAAAGGCUCAAGGCUAUCAGAUGCACACUAAUUAGUUCUCUUGUUUCUAUGUACGUAUGCAUGUAAAUGUACGUCUUGAUUGUGGGUAGGUUUGUUGAUUACAUAUCCUUCCGUUAUUGUCCAAACAUAGGCUAAUCAAACGAACUAGUUAAUUUUUAGUAUAUGUUUUUUUUUCUUCUUCUCAAAAAGAAUAUAUUAGCAUGAUGGUUUAGUGUCUUUGUGCGUGCAUAUCAACAUGUUAUGUACUACACUGAUCAAACGCUGCAAAUAAAUUGAGCAUGUGGAUGCACAUUGUAGGUUGUUUGUUUUUCAUAAUAGCAUAGUAAUAAUAGACAUGUAGAUGGAUAGAUAAUCUGCAUCGUGCAUCAGAGAGCCUACACCAAGUUUUCAUGUUCAAACAAAAAUCUACACCAAGUUGCCAAAAAAUGGUUAAAAAUGCCGUAAAUACUUGCUUAUAUUUUCCCCUUUGAGAUAUAUCGAUCCAAACAACAAAUAUCAGUAGUCAGUAAGAAAUGCUAUUUUACACUAAACAAAAAUGAAUUAAAUGUGUUUGGCAAGAUAUUCAUCAUAUCAUCUGUAGCGAUCCGACCUCAGACGGUCAAAUCUCUGUGUUCAGUGUCAUCCCUGGAUCGGUAAUGCUAACACACACAGUACUUGAAUGGAUUUAUAAUAGAGUCCUUGCUGGUCACCACUUCCAUUCAUGUACAAAUACAAUCACCUUUGCCGAGAGAAUGGAGCAACUUGCCUUUGGCAUUGCAAGCAGCCGACGCAUCUGCGUCCUGUGAAUGGUAAUCACACUACCCUACGCGAGCAAGAUGGAGAGCAACUACGAGCACCUGCCGGUGGCGCGACGCCAUUGCUGCACUACAGAGCGGCUAGAACUAAAUAGUUACAGACGGGGGAGCCAAGUGACGGAAGCUACAAAGAGGAGAUGAAAGGCUCAAGGCUAUCAGAUGCACACUAAUUAGUUCUCUUGUUUCUAUGUACGUAUGCAUGUAAAUGUACGUCUUGAUUGUGGGUAGGUUUGUUGAUUACAUAUCCUUCCGUUAUUGUCCAAACAUAGGCUAAUCAAACGAACUAGUUAAUUUUUAGUAUAUGUUUUUUUUUCUUCUUCUCAAAAAGAAUAUAUUAGCAUGAUGGUUUAGUGUCUUUGUGCGUGCAUAUCAACAUGUUAUGUACUACACUGAUCAAACGCUGCAAAUAAAUUGAGCAUGUGGAUGCACAUUGUAGGUUGUUUGUUUUUCAUAAUAGCAUAGUAAUAAUAGACAUGUAGAUGGAUAGAUAAUCUGCAUCGUGCAUCAGAGAGCCUACACCAAGUUUUCAUGUUCAAACAAAAAUCUACACCAAGUUGCCAAAAAAUGGUUAAAAAUGCCGUAAAUACUUGCUUAUAUUUUCCCCUUUGAGAUAUAUCGAUCCAAACAACAAAUAUCAGUAGUCAGUAAGAAAUGCUAUUUUACACUAAACAAAAAUGAAUUAAAUGUGUUUGGCAAGAUAUUCAUCAUAUCAUCUGUAGCGAUCCGACCUCAGACGGUCAAAUCUCUGUGUUCAGUGUCAUCCCUGGAUCGGUAAUGCUAACACACACAGUACUUGAAUGGAUUUAUAAUAGAGUAGCAAUCACACACUUAUUACAUCGAAUGUCUCAAGAGAGAGAACUUAUUACAAUAAAUAUGGCAUAAGGCCAUCUAAAAGAGAUAACAGCGGAAGGCUUAGAAGAUAAAGUGAGUCCAUCAACUCCAACGGCAUAGCUGAGUGCAUGACAACGACCUAGCGCACCUUACUUCUCGUCUGAAAAGUCUGCAACAUGAUAUGUUGCAGCCCGAAACGGCUCAGCACAUGGAAUAUGCUGGCAAAAUAACACAGUAGAGCAAUGAACAGAUAAAUGCUAUUACUACAUGCAUAUAUGGCUGGUGAAGGCUCUAUGGUUAUAAUGUUUUGCGAAAAGCCAGUUUUUCCCUACAACAAAGAAAUAUGAUUUAUUUAACUAUCAUGAUGGUUGAAACAUCAUUGAGAAGGUUCCUCCAACUCAAUCCCAAUUAAAGUAGUCAUUAUCAUCCCAACAAAUUAAUUUAGAGUGAUGAGAUCAAACCAAUAAUUCAAGUACCAGAUACUCAAGAUGUCCAUAACCGGGGACAUGGCUAACCAUGAUUAGUUUAUACACUCUGCAGAGGUUUGCGCACUUUUCCCCACAAGACUCAAUCUCCUCCGUUGGAUUUCUCGCACUAAAUGGUGUUUGAGAAACGGAUGACCGAGACACAGUCUUUCAGAAACAUUAACUCUUUACUCUGGGUAGACAGUUACACCUACUUUCCCUCUACAUCUGCUAGCCUACCACUGAAAGAGGUCAUGCAACUUACUCAACUAUGCUAGAGCCCAUAAUAGCUUGUGGCUGCACACGGAAGUUUCUAGCAUGAAUAAUCUUAUGAUCCCUUCGAGCCUGGGUGGCGGACCGUAGGAUGAUCACACGGGUACUCCAGAAUAUCCUAGGACAACACUGGAUUCUCCAGGUGCCCAAACCAAAAAUCCACCCAGAUGUGUAUUCAAGUAGCCACCAUGGAUUCACUCAAACCCAAUCCACGUCUACGAGCAUAGCAUGGCAAUAUAAGCAUAACGUAGAAGUAACUCCUAGGGUUUGAUAAUAAACAGGGCAAUAGGUUCUACCACAUCAACUACUUCCCAAAACCCACAAGUUAAUCACAUCCUAAUCAUGCAGUGUUUGAGGAUUGUAACUAAUGCAUAAAAACUGGGUAUGAAAAGAGUAUGAUCAAUGUGUUACUUGCCUUGCUGAUGAUCUGCAAAUCCUAAAGACUCGUAGUAGCACGCUUCGCACUCCGGGAAUUCUAUCGCAAACAAACAAUAGCAUACAUAAGCAAUCAAGCAAAGAUGCACGGGUAAAACUCAAAUAAGAAGAUCUAACCAGAAAGUUCAACUGAAGAACUCCGGUUUGCAAAAAGAAUCAAAUCAAAUGGAGCAACGAAACUCAAACCACGAAAGAAACAAUAUCCGUUUACUAAUCUGGACUAAAGUCAAAUUUUACAGUACCAAAAUCUUGUUCAAGUUGGUUAAACAGAAAGAGGGCUUCGAGACGAAGAUCUAGGCACUUGUUUCACCUGAUUUGGCUAAACGAGCGAAAAGAUAAAAUAAAACGAAGAUCAGGGCAGAAAUCGCGAUCGAAAAUAAUCGCGGAAAACCCUGGAAAAUAAAACGAGAUGAACAGGCUAACGAACGAACGUUCGCUGUCUGCGGCUAACUGACGAACAUCGUUCGUUAAAAUGAACGAACGGACGAACGUCCGCUAAACAACUAAACCGAGCCAAAAAAAAACGCAUCUAGGGUUUUUUUCUUAAGAAAAACCGAGGUUUUUUUUACCUAAAACAAAAAAAAAGGCGGCUCGGAUUGGAUCGGGAAUGGCGGCAGCUCCGGCGAGGCGAGGCAGGGCGGGGCGCGACGGCGGAGCGGCGCGGGCAGCGGCAGCGGCGCUCGGGAGGCGGCGGCAGCUCCGGCUUGGGGCUCUAGGGGGGCCCCGGGUCGGCUUUUAAAGGGGGGGAGGUGGCGGCUUGGGGGAGGGGCGACGGGGUGGCGUCGGCGGCGGCUCAGACUCCCUCGAGGAGUCCGGCUCGGGGACGAAGGCGACGGCGGCGGCGGAGUGGGCUGGCUGGACUUUCGGCCUAGUCGGUCCGAAGCAAAACUUUUUUUUUAAAAACUGACUUCGCCGGAAAAAUCCUAGAAAAUAAAAUAAAAAUCUAAAAAAUACCAAAACAAAUUUUCACCGUCUAAAUAGAAUAUUUAGAACAAAGUGAACAUUUUCUUGUCCCUAAAAUGCAAUUUUGAAAAAUGCUUCUAAUUCAAAUAAAAUUGCGAUAAAAUUCAAAUAAAAUUAUUUAUUUGAUUUUAGUAUUUUUCUUCCAAUAUUUCAUUCAUUUUGGAGAAGUCAUAUUACCUCCUCUCAUAUAUUUUAAUAUGAAAUAUUUUCGGAGAGGAAAAAUAAUUAAAACCAAAUGAUCCUUGUUUCGAUAUUUGAAAAAAAAUUCAAAUAUGAAAAACGUGAAAUCCCCAACUCUCUCCGUAGGUCCUUGAGUUGCUUAGAAUUUCGAGGAUCGCAAAACGAAAUGCAAUAAAAUAUGAUAUGCAUGGAUGACCUAUGUAUAACAUUCGAAAUUGAAAAUUUGGGAUGUUACAAACCUACCCCUCUUAAGUUGAAUCUCGUCCUCGAGAUUCGGGUUGGGUAGAAAAUAGGUGUGGGUGGUCUUUGCGUAGAUCAUCCUCUCGCUCCUAGGUGGCUUCAUCCUCGGUAUAGUGGCUCCACUGAACUUUGCAAAACUUGAUAACUUUGCUGCGAGUAACUCGGCUGGCAAACUCGAGAAUUUUGACCGGUUUCUCCUCAUAGGUCAAAUCACUAUCCAACUGAAUUGCUUCCAGGGGCACUGUAUCUCUCAGAGGAAUAUCGACUGUCUUUGCAUGACACUUCAUCAACUGGGAAACGUGAAACACAUCAUGAACUCCUGACAGCCCUUCGGGUAACUCCAAUUUGUAGGCAACCUCUCCCAUGCGUUCCAAAACACGAUAUGGACCUACAAAUCUCGGGGCUAACUUUCCCUUAACUCCAAAAUUUUUAACUCCUCGCAGAGGUGACACUCGUAGAUAUGCUCUGUCUCCGAUUUCAUAGACUACCUCCUUUCGUUUUGAGUCUGCAUAGCUCUUCUGUCUAGACUGAGCUACCUUUAGUCUGUCUCGAAUCAGCUUAACCUUCUCUUCUGACUCUUUAAUCAAAUCCGGUCCAAACAACCGACGGUCUCCAACUUCAUCCCACAUCAACGGUGUUCUGCACCUUCGUCCGUACAAGGCUUCGAAAGGUGCCAUCUCCAAACUGGCCUGGUAGCUGUUGUUGUAUGGGAACUCUGCGUAUGGCAAAUUGUCAUCCCAACUAGAUCCAUAAUCUAGCGCACAAGCUCUCAACAUGUCCUCCAGAAUCUGAUUGACUCUCUCGGUCUGUCCAUCUGUCUGCGGAUGAAAAGCUGUACUGAACUCUAGCCUGGUACCCAAAGUCUGGUGCAGCUGGUGCCAAAACUUAGUAAGUAAACUGUGUUCCUCUAUCUGAUACGAUGGUCCUCGGAACUCCGUGCAGACAUACGAUCCUGGUCAUAUAUAUCUUGGCCAACUUUGCGCUUGUAUAAGUGGUUUUCACUGGGAUAAAGUGAGCUACUUUGGUCAAGCGAUCCACUACUACCCAGAUAGAAUCAUAUCCCGAUCGGGUCCUGGGUAAUCCAGUGAUAAAAUCCAUGCCAAGUUUGUCCCACUUCCAUUCGGGUAUCGGCAUAGGCUGCAGUAAUCUUGCUGGCUUCUGAUGUUCUGCCUUCACUCUCUGACAUACAUCACAUACGGCUACAUACUCGGCAAUAUCCUUCUUCAUUCCAGUCCACCAGAAACGCUCCUUCAAAUCUAAAUACAUCUUGGUGUUCCCGGGGUGUAUCGAGUAUGGCGAGUCAUGAGCUUCCUGUAGUAUCAACUUCCUGAUCUCAGCAUUGUUGGGCACAUAUACACGGUCCUCAAACCACAAGGUGUCGUGCUCAUCCUCGCGAAAACCUUUGGCUUUUCCUUCACUCAUCUUCUCCUUUAUCUCGGCAAUUUCUUUGUCAUCCUUCUGAGCUUCUCGAAUCUUUCCCAGUAACGUUGACUGAACCUCCAAUGCUGCAACAAAACCUCUAGGGACUAUCUCCAAACGAAGCUCCAUGAGAUCUUCGGCCAACUCCUUUGGAAAUCCUCCGCUCACGAGCGUAUUGGCAUAACUCUUCCAGCUCAAAGCGUCUGCUACGACAUUGGCCUUGCCUGGAUGAUAGUGCAACUUCAUAUCAUAAUUCUUUAUGAGUUCCAACCAUCUCCUCUGCCUGAGGUUCAGCUCCUUCUGAGUGAAAAUGUACUUCAAACUCUUGUGAUCCGUGUACACAUCACAACGGUUUCCAAUAAGAAAAUGUCUCCAGGUUUUGAGCGCAUGCACUACUGCUGCUAACUCCAAAUCAUGCGUGGCAUAAUUCAACUCAUGUGGUCGAAGCUGACGUGAGGCAUAUGAAACAACUCUUCCGUCUUGCAUAAGUACUCCUCCAAGUCCUAAACGAGACGCGUCGCAAUACACUUGGAAAUCCUUGCGUAUAUCCGGCAAAAUUAGCACUGGGGCUGUAACCAAGCGUUUCUUCAACUCCUGGAAACUUGCUUCACAUUCUUCAGUCCAAUGGAACUUGGUGUCCUUCUUCAACAGUGCCGUCAUAGGCUUCGCAAUCUUGGAAAAGUUCUCAAUGAAUCUCCGAUAGUAUCCCGUGAGUCCAAGAAAACUGCGGAUCUCUCCAACUGAGGUGGGUGCCAACCACUCAGUGACUGACUGAACCUUGGUAGGAUCCAUUGCUAUACCUUCUCCUGAUAUAACAUGUCCAAGAAAUCCAACUUCCUUCAGCCAAACUCACAUUUGUUGAACUUGGCAUAUAACUGAUGUUCCCUGAGUUUCUCAAGAACCAAACGUAAAUGCUCCUUGUAUUCUUCUUCAUUCUUCGAGUACACCAAGAUAUCAUCAAUGAACACCAUGACAAACUUAUCCAAGAAUUCCAUGAACACCUUAUUCAUCAUACUCAUGAAAUAGGCAGGGGCGUUAGUCAGUCCAAAUGACAUAACCGUAUACUCAUAUAGCCCGUACCAUGUGGUGAAAGCUGUCUUAGGUAUAUCCUUUUCCCGGAUCUUCAGCUGGUGGUAUCCUGAUCGCAGGUCGAUCUUUGAAAACACUUUAGCUCCUUGUAGCUGGUCAAACAAAUCAUUGAUCAUCGGCAGUGGGUACUUGUUCUUGAUGGUCACCUCAUUCAAGGCUCGAUAAUCAACAACCAUUCUUAAGGAUCCAUCCUUCUUCUCAACCAAGAGCACUGGGGCUCCCCAUGGUGAUGAACUUCGUCGAAUGUAACCUUUCUCCAAUAACUCCUUAAUCU